GUGAGGGAGAGAGGAGUCAUCAUCCAGGUAAAGUGACGUGGAUCAGUGGAUACACUUGUCUCCCCUUUAAAGGAGAUAGAGAGACGAUCCGAGUCAUCCCUAAAUAUGGGCAGGAUGUCAGUCUUGGACUGUCUAACCUGCCGGAGCAGCACUGAAUGACCACCACACAUGAGCAUGUUCCUGCAACAUUCAGCAGCUUUGCUUUUGGGUCAAAGGUCAACCAGCUGGAGAGGAAACUACACCAGUGUACUGGGAUGUUUCACCAACACGUGCCAGAUGCUGUUCCUUCAUGGUGACAUCACCAGAGACAGCCCCGCCCACCUCAGGACCUCGCCAUUGAUCAUGAUGGUUAUAAUAAUGACAGCGAGCGGAACUAAGACUGUAAAAAUCAGAAUGUUUAGAUGCUUUCUAAUUAUUCAUGAAUACUGAGAGCCUCUUUCUGUGUUUUGUCUGUUUUGUUUUUUUUACCUCAUUUGUUACUAACAAAGUUCACCAAACUCACACAGUUUACAUUCUGUAUGUUUCCAUCUUUACCAGCCACACUCUGCCUGCAUUUAGAAAACAAACCUUAGAAAUCGUCGUUUUUCUCUUUUGUAAUUUUGUAAUUCAGUGAAUAUACUGCGCUGCUUCCUUUUAUUGCGUCACACAUGGCUUUAACUUUUUCAGUGUCCAGUUAUUUUUUACUGCUGUUUGAAUUCUCUGCAUGUUUGACCCUGUAGACUGUUUAAUG